GGUCGCGUAGUUGGAGACGGAAAUUUGUUGCGCCUUCUCUGUUGGCCCCGCCUUGAAACUCAGCCAAUCGGCCUCUCCAAUCUGCCCAGUUCCGGUAGCCCUUGCCUACGGCUCCACGUAAUCCCGCCCCUCUGCCUAGGGGCGGUAUUUACUCGCCAACCCCUGCGGGAAAAUAGCUGGCUGUCAGCUGGGGUAGCGGUGGGCCUCGUUUGUUACUAGGAAAAUUAAUCUGCUUCUAACCCAGAGUCGCUGGGUGGUUUUACACAGUUUCUGUCUGUCCUCUCUGACUCCCAGUUUCCGGUUUGGCGCAUGCGUUUAUUUAGGUAUGCCUUCCGCGAAAAUACAGUGUCCCAAAAACAUGUAUACACAAUUUAACAGCUGAUAGCUCAAUUUAUGUUUCUUUCUUUUCAGCCAGACUAAGCUUUAAACAGGAAAUUCAGCCCAAGCCGGCUUGGUUCAGUGGAUAGAGUCUCGACCUGUGGACUGAAGGGUCCCAGGUUCCAUUGGGGACGGGCACAUGCCCGAGGUGCGGUUGUGGGCUCGUUCCCCAGUAGGGGGCAGGCAGGAGGCAGCCCGUCAAUGAUUCUCAUCAUUGAUGUUUCUAUCUCCCUCUCCUACUCUCUGAAAUGAAUAAAAAUAAAGAAACUAACAAAAACAAAAGAAAUUCAUCCCUAAAAUGCUAUUGCAAGUUUGAACACACAGUUGAAGUACAAACACUGCCUUUAUAUUUAAAGUUUAACUGAUUUGAAAUAAUGGGUGAAGUCAGAUUAAGCUCUGAACAAAGAAAAUGUAUCCACUGGACUAUUUUAUGGGAAUACAUAAAAGAUAAGUUAGGUACAAAACUGGCAACAGUUGACAAAUUGAGGGUGCACAAAUCCUGAACGAAAUGAUCCUUGAUGUUUGUGAUUCCAUUGCUUCACAUUAUUGGCAGAAUGGUCACCAGUUUGAAAACACAUUGAACAACAACAACAAAUGUAAUCAUUUCUGUAGACUUUUAAAUUUUGAAAAUGAACUGUAUGUUAAUAAACACUAACUUUAUAA